GAGCCUUAAUAAAAAUGCCUAAGGAAAGAGAGGUUGUCUGUGAAUCGACGUCAGUUUUGCCAAUGGGAAUGAAGUUGAUUCUCAGAUACGCUGAGAAGAUAAUGGAGAAAGAUUCUAGUAUCACUAUUCCACUACCUGUUGGGAUUUUUGGUGUUAGUCGAAAGACUUCUGUUCUCCGAGAGGACAUCAUUGAUCUUUGUAACAUGAAUGAGGUCAAAACAUUUACAUUGGUGGCCUAUAUGACGUACUUGUAUUCAUCUGUUCUUGGUUCGAAGGAAAAUAUACAGUACGUCUUUGUAGAUCCAUCCCUCACCUCUGCCGGACACUCGCAAGAAUCUCGAGUUCGAAACUUAUGCAGUAGAUUGAUGGUCUCAAAGAUUAACGAAAUAGUUCUUGCUCCUUUUAAUCCUAGGGGUCAUUGGGCACUGCUGGCCAUAAAUGCGUAUGAUGAUACAGUAUUUUACCUCGACUCACUAAGGACAACAUCGAAGUCAACUAUAAGAUACGUCACUGACACAGCAAUAGCGAUGUUUCAGUCACAAAAGAACAUUAAAAAAAGUAGAAAACAAACGUUAUGGCGAACAGUAAAGGCAAGUAUCAACUUUUAAAGUUAUUAUAUUUUUGUAGACUACUAGCAAUUAGGAUUACUUUGCUAUUCAAAUUUGUUGCUUUUAUAUAGUGUCCACUAUAAGUCGGGAGUACUAAGUGUGGAUACUACGUCAUGAGGUAUUUGAGAGAAAUUGUGACUAGGGGAAGCAUUGUCAUAUCCGAUGCGAUUGAUACACGAAGAUCAUACUCACAGGCAGAACUAGACGAGGUGCGAGUUGAGUUAGCUGACUUUUUGGGUUCUUACAUAUGAUUAUGACCAAUAUUUUGUGAUUCUGAAGUAGGAAAUUUUUUGUUGUGCCGCUUCUUUAUGACCUUAAACUUUAUGUAUAGAAA